rnacentral:ncRNA from 2 species
UACCAGAGUAGAAGCGGUCAGGGGCCCCGCCCCGGGACAUUGCUCUUUGA